rnacentral:rRNA from 1 species
CAGCCGCCGCGGUAAUACGUAGGUGGCAAGCGUUGUCCGGAAUUAUUGGGCGUAAAGGGCUCGCAGGCGGUUUCUUAAGUCUGAUGUGAAAGCCCCCGGCUCAACCGGGGAGGGUCAUUGGAAACUGGGAAACUUGAGUGCGGAAGAGGAGAGUGGAAUUCCACGUGUAGCGGCGAAAUGCGUAGAGACGUGGAGGAACACCAGUGGCGAAGGCGACUCUCUGGUCUGUAACUGACGCUGAGGAGCGAAAGCGUGGGGAGCGAACAGGAUUAGAGACCCCUGUAGUCCCUGUCUCUUAUAC